AGAGUUUGAUCCUGGCUCAGGACGAACGCUGGCGGCGUGCUUAACACAUGCAAGUCACGGGGGUCCGCAAGGACAACCGGCGAACGGGUGCGUAACACGUGAACAACCUGCCCUCGUGUGGGGGAUAGCCGGGCUAACGCCCGGGUAAUACCGCAUACGUUCUUUCUGGGGAGUCCUGGGAAGAGGAAAGCUCCGGCGCACGGGGAGGGGUUCGCGGCCUAUCAGCUUGUUGGCGGGGUAAUGGCCCACCAAGGCGACGACGGGUAGCUGGUCUGAGAGGAUGGCCAGCCACAUUGGGACUGAGAGACGGCCCAGACUCCUACGGGAGGCAGCAGUGGGGAAUCUUGCGCAAUGGCCGAAAGGCUGACGCAGCGACGCCGCGUGUGGGAGGACGCCUUUCGGGGUGUAAACCACUGUUGCCCGGGACGAACGGCUCGAUUCGUCGAGCGUGACGGUACCGGGUGAGGAAGCACCGGCUAACUCCGUG
rnacentral:rRNA from 1 species